CUACGGGCUGCUGCAGUGGGGAAUAUUGCACAAUGGAGGAAACUCUGAUGCAGCAACGCCGCGUGGAGGAUGACACUUUUCGGAGCGUAAACUCCUUUUAUAUAGGAAGAAGAUGACGGUACUAUAUGAAUAAGCGCCGGCUAACUCCGUGCCAGCAGCCGCGGUAAUACGGAGGGCGCAAGCGUUACUCGGAAUCACUGGGCGUAAAGAGCGUGUAGGCGGAUUAAAAAGUCAGAAGUGAAAUCCUAUAGCUUGACUAUAGAACUGCUUCUGAAACUCUUAAUCUAGAAUAUGGGAGAGGUAGAUGGAAUUUCUGGUGUAGGGGUAAAAUCCGUAGAGAUCAGAAGGAAUACCGACUGCGAAGGCGAUCUACUAGAACAUUAUUGACGCUGAGACGCGAAAGCGUGGGGAGCAAACAGGAUUAGAUACCCUGGUAGUC
rnacentral:rRNA from 1 species